GUGGCCUAGUGGGCAAAGAACCAACCUCUCGAGUGUGAGGGCGCGGGUUCGAUUCCAGGUCAGGCAAGUACCAAUGCAACUUUUCUAAGUUUGUAUGUACUUUCUAAGUAUAUCUUAGACGCCAAUGACUGUGUUUCGGAUGGCACGUUAAACUGUAGGUCCCGGCUGUCAUUGAACAUCCUUGGCAGUCGUUACGGGUAGUCAGAAGCCAGUAAGUCUGACACCAGUCUAACCAAGGGGUAUUGGGUUGCCCAGGUAACUGGGUUGAGGGGGUCAGAUAGGGCAGUCGCUCCUUGUAAAGCACUGGUACUCAGCUACAUCCGGUUAGACUGGAAGCCGACCCCAACGUAGUUUGGGAAAAAGGCUCGGAGGAUGAUGA
rnacentral:lncRNA from 1 species